GCCGAGCAGGCGAAGCUUGUUGAACUUCAUGGGGCGCAAUACCCCCCUCUGCCCUGCCGGGCAUCUCCCCCACAGGGGGGGAGAUCGGCAAGACGCAUGGCUUUCCACGACAUCAAGGUCGCAGAUGCCGAAACGACCAGAGUGACAGGUCUAAGCGAAAGGUAUUUGGUUGAGCAGGACAUCGCCACUUGCCGAUCUCCCCCCUUGUGGGGGAGAUGCCCGGCAGGGCAGAGGGGGGUA
rnacentral:SRP_RNA from 1 species